UGCCAGCAGCCGCGGUAAUACGGAGGGUGCAAGCGUUAGCCGGAUUUAUUGGGUUUAAAGGGUGCGUAGGCGGAAAAUUAAGUCAGUGGUGAAAUGCUGUGGCUCAACCAUAAGAAUUGCCAUUGAAACUAAUUUUCUUGAAUAAGGACGAGGUUGGCGGAAUGUAACAUGUAGCGGUGAAAUGCAUAGAUAUGUUACAGAACCCCGAUUGCGAAGGCAGCUGACUAGGCCUUUAUUGACGCUGAAGCACGAAAGCGUGGGUAGCGAACAGGAUUAGAUA
rnacentral:rRNA from 1 species